AUUAUAAGACCUUAAAUAAAUAAACAUUCAAGAAUCCAUAAUGAUACUCAAAAGAAUGCUUUGUCAUGUCCUAGAAAAUUGUUGUUUCAAGGGCCAUGUGGAAACUGCAACUCCUGCCAUUAUUGAUGUUAAAUAUUUAUCAAACAAUCCUACCAUUCCUCAUUGUUGGGCUUAUACCCAGCACAGGGUCAGGGUCAGCAAUCAAUCACUAUUUGUGGAAUAAACAAAAUAAUUCAUUUCUU